rnacentral:piRNA from 1 species
UGCAAUAAGUCUCUCUUACUG